rnacentral:tRNA from 1 species
GGGCCCAUAGCCUAGUCUGGACAAGGCGACAAGGUUAAUCCUCGCCAGAGCCUUCUAAGCUGUAGAUCGAGGGUUCGAAUCCCUCUGGGCCCA